CCUACGGGUGGCUGCAGUAGGGAAUAUUGCUCAAUGGGGGAAACCCUGAAGCAGCAACGCCGCGUGGAGGAUGAAGGUUUUCGGAUUGUAAACUCCUUUUGUUAGAGAAGAUAAUGACGUUAUCUAACGAAUAAGCACCGGCCAACUCCGUACCAGCAGCCGCGGUAAUACGGAGGGUGCAAGCGUUACUCGGAAUCACUGGGCGGAAAGAGCGCGUAGGCGGGUUAGCAAGUCAGAUGUGAAAUCCUUUGGUUUAACCAUAGAACUGCAUUUGAAACUGUUCUUCUAGAGGAUGGGAGAGGUAGGGGGAAUGCUUGGUGUAGGGGUAAAAUGCGUAGAGAUCAAGAGGAAUACUCAUUGCGAAGGCGACCUGCUAGAACAUAACUGACGCUGAUGCGCGAAAGCGUGGGGAGCAAACAGGAUUAGAUACCCGUGUAGUC
rnacentral:rRNA from 1 species